rnacentral:rRNA from 1 species
UGGGGAAUAUUGCACAAUGGGCGCAAGCCUGAUGCAGCGACGCCGCGUGAGGGAUGACGGCCUUCGGGUUGUAAACCUCUUUCAAUAGGGACGAAGCGCAAGUGACGGUACCUAUAGAAGAAGGACCGGCCAACUACGUGCCAGCAGCCGCGGUAAUACGUAGGGUCCGAGCGUUGUCCGGAAUUACUGGGCGUAAAGAGCUCGUAGGUGGUUUGUCGCGUUGUUCGUGAAAACUCACAGCUUAACUGUGGGCGUGCGGGCGAUACGGGCAGACUAGAGUACUGCAGGGGAGACUGGAAUUCCUGGUGUAGCGGUGGAAUGCGCAGAUAUCAGGAGGAACACCGGUGGCGAAGGCGGGUCUCUGGGCAGUAACCUGACGCUGAGGAGCGAAAGCGUGGGGAGCGAACAGGAUUAGAUACCCUGGUAGUCCACGCCGUAAACGGUGGGUACUAGGUGUGGGUUUCCUUCCUUGGGAUCCGUGCCGUAGCUAACGCAUUGAAGUACCCCGCCUGGGGAGUACGGCCGCAAGGCUAAAACUUAAAUGAAUUGACGGGGUCAUAGCUGUUUCCU